UGGGGAAUUUUGGACAAUGGGCGAAAGCCUGAUCCAGCAAUGCCGCGUGUGUGAAGAAGGCCUUCGGUUGUAAAGCACUUUUGUCCGGAAAGAAAUCCUUGGCUCUAAUACAGUCGGGGGAUGACGGUACCGGAAGAAUAAGCACCGGCUAACUACGUGCCAGCAGCCGCGGUAAUACGUAGGGUGCAAGCGUUAAUCGGAAUUACUGGGCGUAAAGCGUGCGCAGGCGGUUUGCUAAGACCGAUGUGAAAUCCCCGGGGCUCAACCUGGGAACUGCAUUGGUGACUGGCAGGGCUAGAGUAUGGCAGAGGGGGGUAGGAAUAUCCACGUGUAGCAGUGAAAUGCGUAGAGAUGUGGAGGAAUACCGAUGGCGAAGGCAGCCCCCUGGGGCCAAAUACUGACGCUCAUGCACG
rnacentral:rRNA from 1 species